UAUAUAUAUAUAUAUAUUGGGGUGAAACGAUACAUGUAUUUGUAUUGAACCAUUUCGGUAUGGGACGUUCGGUUCAGUACAGGGCUGCGCACGGGUGAGUUCACGUUGCAAGUGUUUACAUUCAGUGUUGCCAACUUAGCGCCUUUCCAAACCGUCUUG